rnacentral:rRNA from 1 species
GACGAACGCUGGCGGCGUGCUUAACACAUGCAAGUCGAACGGAAAGGCCCUGCUUUUGUGGGGUGCUCGAGUGGCGAACGGGUGAGUAACACGUGAGUAACCUGCCCUUGACUUUGGGAUAACUUCAGGAAACUGGGGCUAAUACCGGAUAGGAGCUCCUGCUGCAUGGUGGGGGUUGGAAAGUUUCGGCGGUUGGGGAUGGACUCGCGGCUUAUCAGCUUGUUGGUGGGGUAGUGGCUUACCAAGGCUUUGACGGGUAGCCGGCCUGAGAGGGUGGCCGGCCACAUUAGGCCUGAGAUACGGCCCAGACUCCAACGGGAGGCAGCAGUGGGGAAUAUUGCACAAUGGGCGGAAGCCUGAUGCAGCAACGCCGCGUGCGGGAUGACGGCCUUCGGGUUGUAAACCGCUUUCGCCUGUGACGAAGCGUGAGUGACGGUAAUGGGUAAAGAAGCACCGGCUAACUACGUG